rnacentral:rRNA from 1 species
UACGGAGGGUGCGAGCGUUGUCCGGAAUCACUGGGCGUAAAGGGCGCGUAGGCGGCAGGCCAAGCGUGCGGUGAAAGUCCGGGGCUCAACCCCGGAUCUGCCGUGCGGACUGGUUUGCUAGAGCACUGUAGAGGCGAGUGGAAUUCCGGGUGUAGCGGUGGAAUGCGUAGAGAUCCGGAAGAACACCGGUGGCGAAGGCGGCUCGCUGGGCAGUGGCUGACGCUGAGGCGCGAAAGCGUGGGGAGCAAACAGGGAUUAAGAAACCC